rnacentral:tRNA from 1 species
AAGUCCUGUGGUGUAGACACGUCGGAUUGCAAAUCCGAAGACGCGAGUAGCAUCGCCGGGACUUC